rnacentral:lncRNA from 1 species
AAGCCACGGUUUUUGUGUCCGCGGCUGCACCCCUCUCGAAGCGUUUUCACGCACAUGUGAGAAACCUCACACCCUGGGGCCGAUUUCUUUAGUAGAUUGGCGCCCAAAUGGCAAAGAUUUCCAGGGAUUUGUUUGGGAUUCCAUAUUUUUGUAGAUUUGCCGAGAUUGGAUACUAGUACAAUAUUGAGAAUUCCCGUCCAGCAAUGUGGCUAUUUUUUUAAAUUAAUUCAGUUCUCCCUUUGUUUUUCAGGUAAAGCGUUGCAGUUCGCUUGGUGUUGUGCGCAUUUAACAUUUUUUCAUAGCUAUUUUUGUUAUUGUAGUUUGUUUUUACUAAUAGACUAUUAAUCCAUUAGUAUCCUUGUAUAAGAAUGGCUUUUGAUUGUUGAUCUAUCUGGACACUUCACUAAACGUUCGUAUUCUAAAAAUUUGACAGGCAGUCCUCUUUGAUUUGUAGGUAAGAAUUUAUCUGUAAAGAACAAUUUUGGCUUUUCCCAAGAAUCCAGUGCAACACUGAAUAGUAGCCGGAGGUACUUAUUUCUUACCAGGAGUUAUUUUGGAUUGCAUCUUAGGUUUCAUUCAAGAUAUCUUCUGCAGGUUUAUGGUGUGUGUGUGUGUGGGUGUAUAGGCAAAUUAUGUUCUUUUCGUAGUUUACCAUAUCGGUUUUUUUUUUAAUCAGCAAAUGACUAAGUUUUACCAAGUAUUUUCAGUAUCAGUCUUUGAGAUGAUUGUAUGGCCUUUUUUCCAUUACUCUACAAUAAAAUAACUACAAUAAUAGAUUUUCUAAUGGUGAGCCAAACUUAGAAUCCUGGUAUCUUAUUUUUUCAAUAUAUUGCUGGAUGCAAUUUGCUGUGUAGUUAAUUUUGGAUUUUC